rnacentral:misc_RNA from 1 species
GAAAUGCGAUAAGUAAUGUGAAUUGCAGAAUUCAGUGAAUCAUCGAAUCUUUGAACGCACCUUGCGCUCCUUGGUAUUCCUUGGAGCAUGCCUGUUUGAGUAUCAUGAAAUCUUCAAAGUAAAUCUUUUGUUAACUCAAUUGGUUUCUACUUUGGUAUUGGAGGUCUUUGCAGCUUCACACCUGCUCCUCUUUGUUCAUUAGCUGGUUCUCAGUGUUAUGCUUGGUUCCACUCGGCGUGAUAAGUUAUCUAUCGCUGAGGACACUGUAAAAGGUGGCCAAGGUAAAUGCAGAUGAACCGCUUCUAAUAGUCCAUUGACUUGGACAAUACUUUUAUGAUCUGAUCUCAAAUCAGGUAGGACUACCCGCUGAACUUAAGC